CCUACGGGAGGCAGCAGUGGGGAAUAUUGCACAAUGGGCGCAAGCCUGAUGCAGCCAUGCCGCGUGUGUGAAGAAGGCCUUCGGGUUGUAAAGCACUUUCAGCGGGGAGGAAGGCGUUAAGGUUAAUAACCUUGUCGAUUGACGUUACCCGCAGAAGAAGCACCGGCUAACACCGUGCCAGCAGCCGCGGUAAUACGGAGGGUGCAAGCGUUAAUCGGAAUUACUGGGCGUAAAGCGCACGCAGGCGGUCUGUCAAGUCGGAUGUGAAAUCCCCGGGCUCAACCUGGGAACUGCAUUCGAAACUGGCAGGCUAGAGUCUUGUAGAGGGGGGUAGAAUUCCAGGUGUAGCGGUGAAAUGCGUAGAGAUCUGGAGGAAUACCGGUGGCGAAGGCGGCCCCCUGGACAAAGACUGACGCUCAGGUGCGAAAGCGUGGGGAGCAAACAGGAUUAGAUACCCCUGUAGUC
rnacentral:rRNA from 1 species